rnacentral:rRNA from 1 species
AGAGUUUGAUCAUGGCUCAGGACGAACGCUGGCGGCGUGCCUAACACAUGCAAGUCGAACGAAGCACUGUGGAUAGAGACUUCGGUCAAUUGAAACUUUGACUUAGUGGCGGACGGGUGAGUAACGCGUGAGGAACCUGCCUUUCAGAGGGGGACAACAGUUGGAAACGACUGCUAAUACCGCAUGACACAGCGAGAUCGCAUGGUCUUGCUGUCAAAGAUUUAUCGCUGAAAGAUGGCCUCGCGUCUGAUUAGAUAGUUGGUGAGGUAACGGCCCACCAAGUCGACGAUCAGUAGCCGGACUGAGAGGUUGAACGGCCACAUUGGGACUGAGAUACGGCCCAGACUCCUACGGGAGGCAGCAGUGGGGAAUAUUGGGCAAUGGGGGAAACCCUGACCCAGCAACGCCGCGUGAAGGAAGAAGGCUUUCGGGUUGUAAACUUCUUUUACCAGGGACGAAGAACGUGACGGUACCUGGAGAAAAAGCCACGGCUAACUACGUGCCAGCAGCCGCGGUAAUACGUAGGUGGCAAGCGUUGUCCGGAUUUACUGGGUGUAAAGGGCGUGUAGGCGGGAGAGCAAGUCAGAAGUGAAAUCUAUGGGCUUAACCCAUAAACUGCUUUUGAAACUGUUCUUCUUGAGUAUCGGAGAGGCAGGCGGAAUUCCUGGUGUAGCGGUGAAAUGCGUAGAUAUUAGGAGGAACACCAGUGGCGAAGGCGGCCUGCUGGACGACAACUGACGCUGAGGCGCGAAAGCGUGGGGAGCAAACAGGAUUAGAUACCCUGGUAGUCCACGCUGUAAACGAUGAAUACUAGGUGUGGGGGGACUGACCCCUUCCGUGCCGCAGUUAACACAAUAAGUAUUCCACCUGGGGAGUACGAUCGCAAGAUUGAAACUCAAAGGAAUUGACGGGGGCCCGCACAAGCAGUGGAUUAUGUGGUUUAAUUCGACGCAACGCGAAGAACCUUACCGGGAUUUGACAUCCUACUAACGAAGUAGAGAUACAUUAGGUGCCCUUCGGGGAAAGUAGAGACAGGUGGUGCAUGGUUGUCGUCAGCUCGUGUCGUGAGAUGUCGGGUUAAGUCCCGCAACGAGCGCAACCCUUAUUGUUAGUUGCUACGCAAGAGCACUCUAGCGAGACUGCCGUUGACAAAACGGAGGAAGGCGGGGACGACGUCAAAUCAUCAUGCCCCUUAUGUCCCGGGCUACACACGUAAUACAAUGGCGGAUAACAAAGGGAAGCAAAGCCGCGAGGUGGAGCAAAUCCCCAAAACUCGUCUCAGUUCGGAUUGCAGGCUGCAACUCGCCUGCAUGAAGUUGGAAUUGCUAGUAAUCGUAGAUCAGCAUGCUACGGUGAAUACGUUCCCGGGCCUUGUACACACCGCCCGUCACACCAUGAGAGUCGGGAACACCCGGAGUCCGUAGUCUAACCGCAAGGAGGGCGCGGCCGAAGGUGGGUCUGAUAAUUGGGGUGAAGUCGUAACAAGGUA